CCUACGGGAGGCAGCAGUGAGGAAUAUUGGUCAAUGGCCGGAAGGCUGAACCAGCCAUGCCGCGUGAAGGUCAGUGCCCUAUGGGCGUUAAACUUCUUUUGUGCGGGAGCAAUAAUGGUCACGUGUGGCCAGACGAGAGUACCGUACGAAUAAGCAUCGGCUAACUCCGUGCCAGCAGCCGCGGUAAUACGGGGGAUGCAAGCGUUAUCCGGAUUUAUUGGGUUUAAAGGGUGCGUAGGCUGUGAGGUAAGUCAGCGGUGAAAUGCCCCCGCUCAACGGGGUGAAGUGCCAUUGAUACUGCCUGGCUGGAAUGCGGAUGCCGUGGGAGGAAUGUGUGGUGUAGCGGUGAAAUGCAUAGAUAUCACACAGAUCACCGAUUGCGAAGGCAUCUCACGAAGCCGCGAUUGACGCUGAUGCACGAAAGCGUGGGUAUCAAACAGGAUUAGAUACCCUUGUAGUC
rnacentral:rRNA from 1 species